CUAUACAUGCAAGUCGAGCGGACAGAAGGGAGCUUGCUCCCGGAUGUUAGCGGCGGACGGGUGAGUAACACGUGGGUAACCUGCCUGUAAGACUGGGAUAACUCCGGGAAACCGGAGCUAAUACCGGAUAGUUCCUUGAACCGCAUGGUUCAAGGAUGAAAGACGGUUUCGGCUGUCACUUACAGAUGGACCCGCGGCGCAUUAGCUAGUUGGUGGGGUAAUGGCUCACCAAGGCGACGAUGCGUAGCCGACCUGAGAGGGUGAUCGGCCACACUGGGACUGAGACACGGCCCAGACUCCUACGGGAGGCAGCAGUAGGGAAUCUUCCGCAAUGGACGAAAGUCUGACGGAGCAACGCCGCGUGAGUGAUGAAGGUUUUCGGAUCGUAAAGCUCUGUUGUUAGGGAAGAACAAGUGCGAGAGUAACUGCUCGCACCUUGACGGUACCUAACCAGAAAGCCACGGCUAACUACGUGCCAGCAGCCGCGGUAAUACGUAGGUGGCAAGCGUUGUCCGGAAUUAUUGGGCGUAAAGGGCUCGCAGGCGGUUUCUUAAGUCUGAUGUGAAAGCCCCCGGCUCAACCGGGGAGGGUCAUUGGAAACUGGGAAACUUGAGUGCAGAAGAGGAGAGUGGAAUUCCACGUGUAGCGGUGAAAUGCGUAGAGAUGUGGAGGAACACCAGUGGCGAAGGCGACUCUCUGGUCUGUAACUGACGCUGAGGAGCGAAAGCGUGGGGAGCGAACAGGAUUAGAUACCCUGGUAGUCCACGCCGU
rnacentral:rRNA from 1 species